rnacentral:tRNA from 1 species
AGGAAUUUAGGUUAAAUAGACCAAGAGCCUUCAAAGUACAAUAUACUUAACUCCUG